rnacentral:rRNA from 1 species
UUCCGGUUGAUCCUGCCAGAGGCGACCGCUUUUGGAGUUCGAUUAAGCCAUGCGAGUCGAGAGCCUUAGGGGCUCGGCAUACUGCUCAGUAACACGUGGAUAACCUGCCCUAUUGUCUGGAAUAACCUCGGGAAACUGAGAACAAGGCCGGAUAACCCACAAUGCCUGGAACGGUUUGUGGGUGAAGAUAGGAUGGGUCUGCGGCGUAUCAGGUCGUAGGGGGUGUAAUGGACCUCCUAGCCAUCGACGCGUACGGGUGUUGGGAGACAUAGCCCGGAGAUGGAUUCUGAGACACGAAUCCAGACCCUACGGGGUGCAGCAGGCGCGAAAACUUCACACUGCAGGAAACUGUGAUGAGGGAACUCCAAGUGCAUUCACUAUGUGGAUGCUUUUUUUGACUAUUAAUCGGUCAACGAAUAAGGGCUGGGAAAGACCGGUGCCAGCCGCCGCGGUAAUACCGGCAGCUCAAGUGGUCGUCGCUUUUAUUGGGCCUAAAACGUCCGUAGCCUGUUUGGUAAAUCUGUGGGUAAAUCAACCAGCUUAACUGGUUGAAUUCUGCAGAGACUGCCAGACUAGGGACCGGGAGAGGUGUGGGGUACUCUAGGGGUAGGGGUAAAAUCCUGUCAUCCUUAGAGGACCACCAGUUGCGAAGGCGCCACACUGGAACGGAUCCGACGGUCAGGGACGAAGCCUAGGGGCACGAACCGGAUUAGAUACCCGGGUAGUCCUAGGUGUAAACGCUGUGAACUUGGUGUCGGGGAUCCG